UAACAUUCUGGAACCUUGAGGGUUUAUGACAUAGUUAGCUCCUCUAGUAAUGUAAUAAGAUCUCUAUGAUCGUAGCCAACUAAACUCAACUACACGAUGAGUUAAGCGGCGACUAGUGUGGGCGAACUAGAGCUCCGACGUCACAUACAUUUUUGACAUUUUAUAUAAACUACUUAUUUCAGCACCCAAAGAAUAGCGCACAAUUACACAUAACCGUGUCGUGGUAAACGUUAGUUCCAGACUAUUCUUUGGGCGCUGAAAUCCAGUCGGCCUAUUAUAUGCUACUCAACUUCAUCGUAAAUAGUAUAGUUGGGUUUAAUCGGCUAUAUAAUCGUGGAGUUGAGAAUUCUCAGCUAGCUAGUUUGCGUUAUUUCGCUGUAGUAGCCAGUAUUAUGCUAACUUGCUAGCUAGCCGUUUAUGACUGAAAUACUAACUAGUCUCGAGUCUCUACCACUCUAGCUACUGUGAAGCUAUGAAUAACUGGCAAAGCACAAACAUAACGUUAGCCUGGCAGCAUGCUGUGCAGCUAUCUAGCUAGCUACCUCCCUGGCAGUUAAUGUAUAGCUAGCUAAAGUUACCAUAAAUUAACCAGAGUAACAUCAAUAGAUAAUGCCAGCUAGCUAAACGUUCUUGGAGUGAAACGUCAGCAAGCGAUCUCGUAAUAAAUUACAGUGGCUAACUAUAUGUAAAACGUACUUAUUUUCUCCUUCAAACAACAGAAAUGACUCAAAUGCAGGUGGCGCGUUCAUAUUUGAUAACUACCUAGCGAUAGACAAGGGUGCAAAAACUAAGAAACAGCGAACACACACCGCAGAGUACUUGAAUGAGCGAGAAGAUCCUGACUGCAGUGUGCAGGCUCAAUGUUGGCGGAGUCAAACGGGUUUAAGCCGUCCGGUCUCUUUCAUGGUCACCCAAGUUGAGGUAAACGUCAAAGAUGUCAACGAAAUCGAAUCUUAAUUGAACCAACCCUACAUGGAUAAAACUAUAAACCAUGGAAAAACAUUCUUUGUUCUGGUCCCCUGGACAUUGGAGGACUUUUGGAGUGGAUGAUGUUCAGGGCUUACCAAAGCAAGGUUUCUCAAACAACUGUGAGGUGUUUGUUUUGAUGUACGCUCUGUACAUUGCAAUGGAAGCACAGUGGGAUUUCACUUAGGUACGUAUAAAUUAUGAAAUUCUCAUCACUAGUGGAUAUGUUUUUUGGGAUACUCAUCUGAUUGUGUGAUUUAAAAAAAUAUUUUACAAAAAUUCAAAAGGAAAACAUGCAGCAAAUUAGGUGACGGUGGUGCCUAGUUCUCCUGCAGGACGUUCCCCUGCUGUAAGUCUUGAACAUUAAAUAACUUUUCAUUUUCUUCCUUAAAAUCACUUGUUUCACUGUAGCUGGACUGACCUGAAUAUAUGUUCAUAUGUAAUUUAUGUCAUUCACUCACUAAAGUCUGAAGAAGAGCGGUUGAAAAAUCGAAAAAGGCGGUGAAAACAAAACACACUACAGGUAGUUGUCAUAGGAUGAGUGGUAUAGUCUUAAACCAAUGUUUAAAGACUUACCCCCCCCCCCCCCCACAUGUAGAAGACAUCCCCCCCACCACCACAAGAAGUCACAUCAUUCAGCUCUGCAGGACCAGACGAUACUGAAAACAAAAUGCACGGCAAACUGGGAGCUGUGAACUGGGAAGCAGAUGUUCUUCUAAGGGACACCCUAGAGGCAGCAAGGUGGUGCAAACUCCAAACAUUUUAAAGGCACUGUUUCCUUCCCCAGUGUAGUUGGGAUGGACGGGGAAGACCGCAUUACAACCCUUAAAGAACUACGGUUGUAUGAUGGCCUGGAUAAAGAGGACAAUAUUCUCCUCAAGGAACCAUUCAUGUUACAGAGAGAUUAGGAGACGUGGAGGCAGUUGACGACAAGAAAAUAACUGUCUUUGCCUCUUUUGAGGAGCAGGAGUGAGGCCAUUUUUGAGUGGUCAAACCUUGUUUUUGUCAGCUUUGUCAAUUGUUAAAUGUGUUAUGUUGUUUAGUAAAGAUGAUGUAGUAGUCACCCGA